GCUAAACAGCUAGCUUAACCACUUAAAUAACCAACACAACAUUAAAUAGUUUAACACAGA
rnacentral:rRNA from 1 species